ACCUCAUCCAGAGGGGCAGAGGGAAACGGCCCGAAGAAGCCCCGGCAACCACCAUGGUCGACUCGAUGACGAGGCCGCGCAUGGCAGGUGCCAAUUCCGUCCAGACCGGGACAUCCGGCCUGGGAAGAUGAGAG
rnacentral:ncRNA from 2 species